UACCAGCACCCCGAGUGGUCGGGACGAUUAUUGGGCCUAAAGCAUCCGUAGCCGGUCCUACAAGUCUUCCGUUAAAUCCAGCUGCUCAACAGAUGGGCUGCGGAGGAUACUACAGGGCUAGGAGGCGGGAGAGGCAAGCGGUACUUUAUGGGUAGGGGUAAAAUCCGUUGAUCCAUAGAAGACCACCAGUGGCGAAGGCGGCUUGCCAGAACGCGCUCGACGGUGAGGGAUGAAAGCUGGGGGAGCAAACCGG
rnacentral:rRNA from 1 species